AACGGCGGCACGGGGGCAACCCUGGUGGCGAGUGGCGAACGGGUGAGUAAUACAUCGGAACGUGUCCAGUCGUGGGGGAUAACCAGUCGAAAGAUUGGCUAAUACCGCAUGCGCCCGAAAGGGGAAAGCGGGGGACCCAAGGGAAACCGAGGGCCUCGCGCGAUUGGAGCGGCCGAUGUCCGAUUAGCUAGUUGGUGAGGUAACGGCUCACCAAGGCGACGAUCGGUAGCUGGUCUGAGAGGACGACCAGCCACACUGGGACUGAGACACGGCCCAGACUCCUACGGGAGGCAGCAGUGGGGAAUUUUGGACAAUGGGGGCAACCCUGAUCCAGCCAUGCCGCGUGUGUGAUGAAGGCCUUCGGGUUGUAAAGCACUUUCGGACGGAACGAAAUCGCGCGGGCAAAUAUCCAGCGUGGAUGACGGUACCGUAAGAAGAAGCACCGGCUAACUACGUGCCAGCAGCCGCGGUAAUACGUAGGGUGCGAGCGUUAAUCGGAAUUACUGGGCGUAAAGGGUGCGCAGGCGGCUCCGCAAGUCAGGCGUGAAAUCCCCGAGCUUAACUUGGGAAUUGCGUUUGAAACUACGAGGCUCGAGUGUGGCAGAGGGAGGUGGAAUUCCACGUGUAGCGGUGAAAUGCGUAGAUAUGUGGAGGAACACCGAUGGCGAAGGCAGCCUCCUGGG
rnacentral:rRNA from 1 species